GUUUUGGCUUGCUGAAGCGCUUGUGUCCUUUAUAUGUCUGAUACAUCUUUUGUGCAAAUGUCUCAUGGGUUGCCUUGGGAAACAUACUGCAGCAGAAGUGAACUUGUCUAAAUCAAAUUGGUUUUGGUUCUGAGACAGUCAUGAUUGCCUAUUCGUUGAGCUGGUAUCAGGUUUCCUAUGUAACUUUGCUUCACUUUGAUCUUGGCUGUGUUAGACAUGUUUAAAUUUUCAUGUUGGAGUAUUAUUGCUACUUGCCUGGAUGACGUCACUAAUUGCUAUUGACAGAUUAAUUAAAGGAGUUGAGUCUAGUUUGCUUACCAAUCAAACAAUCUGGAGUAUACAGUCUUUGCCAAGGCAUCACGACUUAGGGCAGCUUGGCCUGGGUCCAGUGGUUUUGUAAUGUUACCAUCGGGAGUCACUAUGACACGCUUACAGAGUGAGUCUUCUAGCAUCUUCGCGUCAGACCUGAAGAAGUAUACAGGAGGCCAUGGAGGCAUCAUUAGAAUGUAGAUAUAUAUAUAUAUAUAUAUAUAUUUUUUUUUUUUUAAGGUGGUCCAAAUAGAUCAGAGUUCUAACAUGAGGAGCUCUGCGGCAGUUUGAAGAUGGAAUUUUGAUUUCUCAUCUUUCAGUUUCGAAGAAUCAACUUCAUUCCCUUUUAUGAAGUCAAUGUUUCCAAGAUGUAGAAUUGCAGCCACCACACGGAAUAUAGCAUCCUACAGAUAGCACCAUCUCUGUUAAUUUUAUUAAUGGACAAAGGAAAUCUUCUAUUUAUUAACAUUGAAAGGCUCAACACCUGCUCAUCUGGGCUGAUCCCCACAAUAUCCAUGGCAUUUCUCGUCUCCAAAUAUUCUCUCGCAUCAUCUACAUUUGCUACUUCAUAACAAUUUGAUUGAUUAAGAUAAUGGAAUGUUCUUGGGUCCCCCAGCUUGAAUUUCUUAACAUCCUGUAAGGUGACAAUAUAGUUCAGCUAAAUGUUUGUUAUGCCUGACUUGGUUGCUGAGUAGGAAAAUGUACGGAGGUCACCUCUGGUGGUGCUGCACAGAGCAUGUAGAAACAAUGAUAGUUUCUCUCUGGAUCAGAGGCUUGGCACACACGUGACCUCUCAAGAAGAUAUGUACGAAUUGCAGCACCAGAUAUCUUUCCGUGCUUAUCAAAUUGAAUCUCAACAAAUUUACCAAAACGACUGGUAAAAUCACAGAUUAUUGUAAGUUAAACCAGAAAGAAAAUUAUUCUAAAAAAGUUAUGAAAAAAGUCUCUGUAAUAAAAGAAAGAGUGCGAAAGUAUAUCACCUUGAAUUAUUGUUUUUCACAGUUUUGGCAUUGCCAAAUGCUUCCAGGACUGGGUUGGACUGAAGAUGUGGAAAAAUUACUGUUUAAUUAUCAAUUGGAAAUAGUUAAUUUACAAACAGAA